ensembl:lncRNA
CACUCUUCCUCUCUCAGCUUGGAGUGGGCGGGGCUGUUUUUCACCCUCCGGCUAAACUGAAGUUGGAAUCGGUCUGUGGUAAUGCGGAAGAACAUUUUCUCUUUUGUUUUGAGAAUAUGUUCACACUGUACUAAAUUCAGCAUUUUGUUGCAUCAAAUGCACCUCAAGAAGGGAUCAAUCAAUCGAUAUUGUUACACAUUCUCAGUGUACAGACUUAAGCAGGUGCUGCUUGAUUGCAAAGUGUUUGCACCUGGGCUGAAUGCCAUGAAGUUGGGCAGAUGCUUAUCUCCUCUGCCUCUCUUGGGCUGCAUUCCAAAUGUUAGUCCAUCGCAAUUCGCCACAUGCUUCCUGCUUCUGAGUUCUUCUGAGUUUAUUCGCCGAUACAAUUGUCAAAUCUCAAGUUUUAUUUGUCACAUGAUUACAAGUAUUCAGUGAAAUGAAAUAACCACGAUGGGGACAUCAUUAAUGCUCCUGCCUGCUCAGCCAUAUAUAACAGACGUGAUUUGCUACAAAGCUGAAGGUUGUGAGGAAUACAUUUAAAACAAUUGACAGCAUGUUUUUAAACUUGUUCUACUUUUUCUCUGGCUUGCCUAGCGCUAACACUUUGCUGUGUAUUUGAGAGGGGACCCAAUCGCUUCCAUGUAUUUCUGGACUCAACACAGCUGAUUGGCAGCUUGCCUCACCAGCAUUCAGGCUAAAACAGCAUCCUCCAGAGUGAAUACACAAGUAUGCCAAUGUGAUUACACAGGGCAUACAAAAUAGACAGGAGGGAUAGCAGGGGGACGAAAAAAUAACAACAAAACAUGCAAGUGGGGGAAUGGCCCUGUUAUCAGAAAAAGGCAUAUUCAAACGCCUACAUAAAAAGUAAACAUUAUAAACCCUGUUUUCUCACUCGAAGAGCAUUUAAAUCAAGAUACCAUGCUCAAAAUGGGUCAAAUCAACAGCAUUACCCUUCCUUCAGUCCUCCUCACACACACAGCCUGUUAAAUAAUGGCCUAUUCUGGAUGGAUCCUUGUCACGUAAGGAAGAGAUUAUUUGCUUUUUUACCAGCAGCAGCUGGCAGCACGGAGCCUCCAGUAUGUUUCAUGUUGGGGUUGAGUGUGUUACUUUCCUCCUGCCACAGCUGUUCAUAUGCACUGAGCCUUGUCAAUCAAAAAGGGGAUGGACGAAGCGACAGGACAUGAUUCAGAACAAGCAGAAGAAGAAGAAUCAAGGCGCACGUGUGCAAUAGACAAACUGCUGGGGGUUGUGCUAAGAACUUUUGAUGCAUUACACGUUAAUUAGUAGAACCCAUGUCAUGGCAGCUGGUAUAAUAACAAAGCUUUAAAAUCCUGAUUUAAUACUAGUACUAAUAUUCGUGAUAUUGGUUGUAUAGUGGAAAAAAAUAAGCAUUUGUCUAGAAUGGAAGAAAUGUCAUAACACCAUGGGAACAGAUCUGAACAGAAAUGAAUUUGUAUUUCAAUGUAAUUCAAUAGAAGGUCUACCCAAUGUCAUUUUCGAUUUGCAUUUUUUUAUACAUCAAAAUAAUAAUUCCUUGCCGACCUGAUCUUUGUGAAUUGUACAUUAUUUCUCUAUUUAGGGCCGGACUGAGAUCGAACCUGGGCUUAUUUUGCACACC